UUUAUAACUACUUGGCAAUAGCAACAUUAGAAGCCACAACACAACAAUUUCUAUCCCCAAAAGGUCCUUAUAAAGCACUUACAUACUACUACUAACAACCCAAAAGACUAAAUGAUGAACGGUUAUACAGGUAAUGUUCGGGUUACACGAAUCAACCUGUACAGGUUAAUGCAUAAGCCAUCACGUUCUUUUGUUACGUUGAGUUAUCAAGUGAUUUUGAAGCUAUUCUUUGAUUUUGUUGCCAUUUACUCUUGAAUUAUUUGUAUCCUCAACCCACUAAAGCACUUUCACAAUUUCACAUAAGGGCUUAAUAUCCGAUCGUGGUCCUUCUCACUCUAACAUGUCAAGAUGAGAUCUGCUAUUGUUGGUUGAUAGUUUCCCACCAAAAAUGGUCCGUCUUUUAGACAAGUGGGUUUUAAUUUAGAUAAAGAUAUCAGUAGCUAGCAUCUCCUCCCUCUAGACCUGAUACAAAACACAACUAAGCAUAAAAUACCAAAAAUUACUCAUACUUACAAUUAUAAUUAUUUUUAGGACUUAAAAUCUUUGUAGUUUCAGACUUCAUCUUCAUAAACCGAAUCCGAUUUCACCAGGGACCUCUAUCGCCUUUUGAGGUUCGGCUUUGUGUCCUUAAUAACCUCUUUUUAUUCUUCUUCCUCAUCUACCAAACCUAAAUCAUCCAUUAAUCAUCAACCACUUCGUUCUCAACAUUCUUUCCUCAAUCCUGGUCAGCAGAAUCAUCUCCUCACUUUCAACAUUCCGAUCACCACCACCUGCAACCUCAUCUUCAACCCCCGCAACUUUAUAACCUGCUCCUUCAACAACUCAAUCUUCUCUUUAGAUAAAUCCAAAAGCUCCCCCUUAGCAUCAUCAUAAUGAACCAAAUGCUUAUCGUAACUCUUUAACAAAUGAUUUUACACCACCUUCUUUCCAACACUUGUCUAGUGGCCAAGUUUUUGGUACAAAGAAGUCUAAAAAUAUGCAAGUGAAAGAUAUCAUUCCUGGUGCAAAAUAAAAAAUUAGAAAAGGAGCAAACUCCAUCCGACGUUUCAGUUAUCACUUCCAUACCUCCAUCUACUAUUGACCCCUCCAUGUUCUCUUCUCCAUGGCUGAACUCCAUCACAGCCAACUAAAUCGUCCUUAAGAGAGCAUAGAUCGAUCGCGAAACAGAACGAAGUUAAUGCUGUAUCUCAUAUGAUUCAAAAUGAGGAUUUUAACACAAUUUCUCAAAUUGCGGUUGUGAACAAUGCCGAUGUGGAUGAAACUGAAACCGAUGUGGAUGAUUUGUUAGAAGAUGAUGAGAUUGAAGAUGAAACAUUAGACGAUAACAUUCAAGUCCCUUCAACUUACACCAAUUUAGAAGAAAUAAAUGUGAAUGCGGAUGACAACUGGAUGGUAUCAGGCUCUGAGAAUAAAACGGUGCAUUUUUAGGGCAUGUUUGGAUUGGCUUCUCAAACCAGCUUAUUAGCUUAUUGACUUAUGGAUAAGUCAAUAAGCUGUUUUUAUGUUUGGAUAACCAAGAAGUCCUUUUCAAAAUAGCUUAUUGCAAAGAAGGAAACAUGAGGUUUUGAAAAGCCAAAAUUUCGUGACUUUUGGAUCCAGAAAUGACUUUUCAAAAAUGAAAUUACUAAAUUACCCCUUAUAUUUGUUUCCUUAUAUCCAGAAAUGACUUUUCAAAAAUGAAUUUUCUAAAUUACCUCUUAUAUUUGGCUUUUCCCAUCACAUAAGCUAAUCCAAACACUUUUUUUAAAAACUCCUUUUCAAAAAGUCGUUUUCCCAAAAGUCCUUUUCCCAAAAGUCCUUUUUAACUCUAAUAAGCUUAACCAAACAUGCCCUUAGUUUUGUUUGUAUUUGAUAUUGAAAACGGUAAUGCGUCAAGUUUAAUAUUUGAUUAGCUUUAUCAUGUUUCUUAUUUCAGUGUUUAGAUUUAUUUUAGA